rnacentral:rRNA from 1 species
UACGUAGGGGGCAAGCGUUGUCCGGAAUCAUUGGGCGUAAAGAGCGUGUAGGCGGUUCGGUAAGUCGGCUGUGAAAGUCCAGGGCUCAACCCUGGGAUGCCGGUCGAUACUGCCGGACUAGAGUUCGGAAGAGGCGAGUGGAAUUCCCGGUGUAGCGGUGAAAUGCGCAGAUAUCGGGGAGGAACACCUAUGGCGAAGGCAGCUCGCUGGGACGUUACUGACGCUGGAGACGCGAAAGCGUGGGGAGCGAACAGG